rnacentral:rRNA from 1 species
UACGUAGGGUGCAAGCGUUGUCCGGAAUUAUUGGGCGUAAAGAGCUCGUAGGCGGUCUGUCGCGUCUGCUGUGAAAACUCAGGGCUUAACCCUGAGCUUGCAGUGGGUACGGGCAGACUAGAGUGCGGUAGGGGAGACUGGAAUUCCUGGUGUAGCGGUGAAAUGCGCAGAUAUCAGGAAGAACACCCGUGGCGAAGGCGGCUCUCUGGAACGGUACUGACGCUGAGACGGCGAAAAGCCGUGGGGGAGCGAAACAGG